AACGAACGCUGGCGGCAUGCCUAACACAUGCAAGUCGAACGAAGGCUUCGGCCUUAGUGGCGCACGGGUGCGUAACGCGUGGGAACCUGCCCCUCGGUUCGGAAUAACAGUUAGAAAUGACUGCUAAUACCGGAUGAUGACUUCGGUCCAAAGAUUUAUCGCCGAGGGAUGGGCCCGCGUAGGAUUAGCUAGUUGGUGGGUAAAGGCCUACCAAGGCGACGAUCCUUAGCUGGUCUGAGAGGAUGAUCAGCCACACUGGGACUGAGACACGGCCCAGACUCCUACGGGAGGCAGCAGUGGGGAAUAUUGGACAAUGGGCGAAAGCCUGAUCCAGCAAUGCCGCGUGAGUGAUGAAGGCCUUAGGGUUGUAAAGCUCUUUUACCAGGGAUGAUAAUGACAGUACCUGGAGAAUAAGCUCCGGCUAACUCCGUG
rnacentral:rRNA from 1 species